CACCCCACUCACACUCUUUCUUCCUCUUUUCCUUAUCUCUAUUUUCCUUAUCCUUCUCUAUCUCUUUUGCUGCAACAUCGAAAGAAGUGCCCGAAAUCAUACUAUUUCGAUCCAUCUAGUAUUGUUUUUGUUUUUGAGAGCUUUUUAUUAGUUUUUAGAUGUUCUGCAUCUCCAAUAUUUUCGUUCACGGAGGUUAUAUUUCUCAUACUUUUUUAACACCUUUUCAUAUUCUAGAUAUAGUUGAGUGCAUUGCAAUGUGUUAAAGCUUUAUUAUAAGCCUUCACCUCUUUUUCCUUUAGACCACAAUCUGGGACUAAGUAAGAUUAAGGUUGAAGGACCAGAAAAAGUUUUAACCCUUGGAUAUGCUAUUGAAUGAUUUUGAAAGUUAAUAUUUCUUAAAUCUCAUAUCCAUGUCUAUUACACUAUAAAUUUGCAUAAAC
rnacentral:lncRNA from 1 species